rnacentral:rRNA from 1 species
UACGAGGGGGGCAAAUGUUGUUCGGAAUUACUGGGCGUAAAGGGCGCGUAGGCGGCCUGCUAAGUCGAACGUGAAAUCCCCGGGCUCAACCCGGGAACUGCGUCCGAUACUGGCAGGCUUGAAUUCGGGAGAGGGAUGCGGAAUUCCAGGUGUAGCGGUGAAAUGCGUAGAUAUCUGGAGGAACACCGCUGGCGAAGGCGGCAUCCUGGACCGAAAUUGACGCUGAGGCGCGAAAGCCAGGGGAGCAAACGGG